AGAGAUGUGUGAUGACGCAUAUCAAUAAGCGGAGGAAAAGAAACUAACAAGGAUUCCCUUAGUAACGGCGAGUGAAGCGGGAAGAGCUCAAAUUUGAAAUCUUCAAGGUUCUACCUUGACGAAUUGUAGUUUAUAGAAGUGUUUUCUGUUAGUGGAGUGGCAAAAGUUCUUUGGAAUAGGACAUCAUAGAGGGUGAGAAUCCCGUAUUUGGUCAUUCCUCCUAGCGUUGUGAUACACUUUCAACGAGUCGGAUUGUUUGGGAAUGCAGUCCAAAAUGGGUGGUAAAUUUCAUCUAAAGCUAAAUAUUGGCGAGAGACCGAUAGCGAACAAGUACCGUGAGGGAAAGAUGAAAAGAACUUUGAAAAGAGAGUUAAACAGUACGUGAAAUUGUCAAAAGGGAAGCGUUUGACACCAGUGUUGUUUUUCCGAAAAUCAAUUACGAAUGUUUUGUUUUUGAGGAGUUAUGACUUCAUCGGCUUGCUCCUUUCUUUACGAAACUUUCUUAAUGCACUUUUCGGUUAACAAGUCAACAUCAAUUUCUUUUGUUGUAAAAGGGUAUGAGGAAGGUGGCUUUCUUUUCGGAGAAAGUGUUUAUAGCCUUGUGCCUCUGCAAUCGGAGAGAUUGAGGUCUGCAGCGUAGAUCCUUCGGGGUUAGAUACGUUUGUGCUAAGUUAUAGCUUUUCAUAGACAACUUGUUGACUAUGUUUAGUCUUGUAGCUUACUCGCUGACGCUAUUUUACCUACGCUUAGGAUGUUGAACUCUAUCACACACA
rnacentral:rRNA from 1 species